GAUCGUCGAGCGCAUUGAACACCUCAGCUCUGAUCCGAGCCUUCAGUUGACCCAACACACCUCGAGACUCCAGGCUCUCUCUCAGAGCUGGGAGAGAAGAUAAGUUGUUGAAAAUGCUAUCAUAAAAACUUCUGCAACUUGUGGGGACAUAUUGAUAACGUAGACUUAAGGGUGAUGCCUUUCAGUGCCCAGUCCAGGCCCUUGCGGUACUGCAGUCCAUAGUCUUGGAACUCUAUAGUGCCAGUCUGAGGCCAGGCCAGAGGCAGGGAACUGCCCUCCACGGUCCACACAGCCUGGUUCCACAGGUCUCCAGCUUCCAGAGGGGUACGAUAACCUUUAACCACCAGCCUGAGGGGAACAGCGAUGACAUACUGAGUGUGCAAAUUAAGAACAACUUCCUAAUAUUGACUUGCACCUGGUCAGUCUAUGUCAUGGAAAGAGCAGGUGUUCUUCAGGUUUUGUACACUCAGUGUAUAAGUUAUACACAAACCACCACGUACAUUAUAAGAUUUACAGUAUAAAAGAUUUUUCA